CCCACCUGCCCCUCCCCCUCCUACACAACCACAUGCAUCACCUAGUGGCCAACCUUCUUCCCGGUACCGAGCCCUUCCCUCUUCUUCCCGCUUCGGGACAAAGAUGGAAGAACCAUCUCCUUCCCCACCUCCCUCUCUUCCUCUCCCUCCUGGUACUGCCCUUCCUUCUUAGCUCUGUCACUGCAGGCUCCGGGUCUCCCUCCCCCUUCUAAAACGCCACACCCUGCACCCUGGUCCCUGUCCACACACUGACCUACUCUCCCUGAAUCCUCCCUGGUGGCUUCUCAUAAGUGGUCUUGGCAGACCCCUGCCCUCCUCAGCGCCCUCCAAGAGGUGACCGGUGUGGAGGGAACGGUUCGAGUCCACAUCCCUUUCUCCCUUCAGGACCUCUCACAGAUUGAAAAGCGGAUGCCCUCCUAAUGGUCCCUGCCCUGGCUCUCCUGGACUCCACCCACCCCUACCACCUCUUACAGAAGAAAAGUGUCUUAGGAUUUCUGUUGCUGUGAAGAGACACCAUGACCAUGACCACAGUGACUCUUAUAAAGGAAAAUAUUUCAUUGGAACUGGCUUACUGUUCAAAGAUUUCCAUUUGACUGACAGACACCACCCAGGAAUCAGCUCUGGACUACAAACUGCUCCAAAUUGCUGAUAGCUCUGGAUUUGCUGAAAGCUGAUAUGAACCAGCCCAACCAAUGUGGUUGCUUCCUGUCUCUUCAGCUGUUUCAACGAACUAGAUGCUUCUGAUGAGUACCUCAUUGCUUGAAUGCCCUCCCAGCCUUUGACUGGCAUCCCAGCUUUCCUGGGCACUGACAACAACUUCCUAAUUUCAGUAGGAAGUAGUUACAGAAGAAAGUACAUUGCCCAUUGUCUUCAAGGCUGGAAUAUUAGGUCCAAAGGAAACUCUCUGGCAAAGGGAAUAAAAUGGUUACAUAUAGAGCAUAUUGGAAAGCCAGGAAAGGCUGUUAAAACUAAAUAGACCAAGAUUAAUCAGCUGAUUCAUUAGCUGAAGUAGUUCUAUAAUAUGAUAGGGCACUCAGCCUGCUCCAUGUAAAACUAGAAAGUUAUUGUAUGGCUUUAAGAGAAAAUUGUUGUUUCUGUACAAACUACUUGGGAAUCAUUAGAGAUAAUUUGACUGUACUAAAAAAACAUUGCAAAAGUGUGUGUGUGGGGGGAACCAGAGAUGAAAUAAAUGACUGUUCCCAUUCUCAUUUUCAGGCUCCUUCUAGAUAGUAACUCUGAUGUCAGCUAUCACAGAACCUUUGGCCCUUCUGUUUCUGCUAACUAUUAUUGGCCCUUGCAUCAUUAACGCCUUAACUAGAUACAUAAAUUUCCAUUUGGGUGCCAUUAAACUGAUGGUUAUUAGAUCCCAAUAUGAACAGGUACUCACCACAGAGUAAAGAAUUUGAUUCAGGAUACAACUCAGUUGGGAAAUGUGAUGGUUAAUUAUGGUUUAAGUUUAAAUUACUAUGCUUAAGAGAUCUAUAAAGCAAAAAUACCUCUAACCUGUAAGCUCCACUUGCCAAAGGACAAUACACCUCCCUGGAAUGCUGGGGGCUGUUGUUCAUGUAGGAUAACAAGCCACAUGUUUUUGCUUCUCUAAACAUGCUUGGUUGCCCCAACUGCACAGGACGUGCUUGAUCACAUGUAGAUGGGAGGCACAUUGACAGGAAGUACAUCAGGACACAUGCUUGACCCUGAUUAGAUGAAGGAAGGAAAUUUAUAGCCUUGUGGGUUUUUGCCUUUACAAGCCCCUGCCUAAUGUAGUUUAGUGCCAUACUCUGGGAAUCCCAUGUAUGGACCUGGCCAGUGUCCAUUGUCCUAGCCAGUGUUUAAUAAAGCUUGCUUCAAA